CAGCAGUAGCCGCGGUAAUACGUAGGGUGCAAGCGUUAAUCGGAAUUACUGGGCGUAAAGCGUGCGCAGGCGGUUAUAUAAGACAGAUGUGAAAUCCCCGGGCUCAACCUGGGAACUGCAUUUGUGACUGUAUAGCUAGAGUACGGCAGAGGGGGAUGGAAUUCCGCGUGUAGCAGUGAAAUGCGUAGAUAUGCGGAGGAACACCGAUGGCGAAGGCAAUCCCCUGGGCCUGUACUGACGCUCAUGCACGAAAGCGUGGGGAGCAAACAGGAUUAGAUACCCCCGUAGUCCCUGUCUCUUAUAC
rnacentral:rRNA from 1 species